rnacentral:lncRNA from 1 species
GCAGUUGUUACUGAUGUUCACUUUAAAAGCAAUCUGUGCGCUGUGUGUGUGGAUGUAUGUGCGCGCGUCUACCUGCAGAAGGUACCUGUGAAGGAACCCUUGGCGCCUUGGGGGACCAGCGCAGUCUGCUCGGACUUGACGCAGCACCUGGCGUGGCACCUGGCGCAGGGCAGAUGUUCAGCAAAGGCGCCUAGACAGCAGCUGGUGGGAAACAGCACCGGCCCCUCCGCUGCCCAAACCCGGUUAUCCUUUCAAACACCCAAUGCGGGCGCCUGUGUGGCUCAGUUGGUGAAGCGGCGGGCUCUUGAUCUCCGCUACGGUCUCAAUGUCAGGGUCCUGAGUUCAAGCCCCGCUGGGCGCGGAGCCUACUUAGAAAACUCCAGGGGGGUAAGGACUCCGGGAGGACCGAGGAAGCACUCCGGGAGCCCGGAGAGGAUCGCAGGACCAUUCCGGGAGCUCGGGGAGGACCUCGGGAGCACUCCAGGAGCUCAGGGGGCCAGAGGGAGCACUCCGGGAGCUCCGGGAGGAGGCGCCCUUCCUCCCAGGGGCCCACCAGCCAGGCUCCCCCCAGCUCUGCUCAGUGCCCGGCACGGAAGAUCCGCGACCGCACCCUACAGCCCCGCAAAGCCGGGCGCACAACCCCGGGGGGCGGCCGCGUCAGGGCAGAGCCCCAAGACCCCGGGGGCGAGACCCACCGCAGCAAGUGCCCGCCUGUCAGAACCUGGGCGGAGGGCGCCGACCCAGGCCGGGGGCUCCGGACCGACGGACCCACCUCUCCGCCGCCCGCCGAGGUUCGGGGCAGCUCCUCUGGGGGCUCCUCUGCAGCGCGGGCGGCUGCGGCGGCGGCGUUGGCGGCGGGCGACUCCAUGGCAACGGGCCGCCCCAGGGGGCGGGGGAGCUCCGCGCCGCACGCACCCCUGCCCGGGCGGUGGUUCGGUCGGCGCGGCCCGGCGCAGGCGCAGGCGCAGUGCGGCCGGGCCCGGGCCGGAGAGGUCCCGCGUGGAGCGGGUGCCUCGGUGGACCCGACCGCGCGCGUGGCGGCCGCUCAGGGUGUGGCCCAAACAGGCUCCAGUUCAGACGGGCGGUCGGCCGCAAGAAGGCGGUGUGUCCCCUGAAAUCGGGCUUCCCCGCCGCUGCCUGUGGGGCAGAGCGCUGGCACACGCGGCCCGCCGCGCGGGAGCGCCACUGAGCGCCCCCUCCUCCCCACCCGGGCCUGCCGUCGCCGUCACUCCGCUGCCCUGGCCCAAUCCCUCAGUAGGCGACCCCCCUGGCGGCGGAGGGUGUGACGAAGGCCCUCCCACCAGCCCGGGGCGGGGCGGGGGGCACACCCUGCCCUGA